UACAGAGGGGGCAAGCGUUGUUCGGAAUUACUGGGCGUAAAGAGCGUGUAGGCGGUCCGAUAAGUCCGCUCUGAAAGCCCGGGGCUCAACCCCGGGAGGCGGGCGGAUACUGUCGGGCUAGAGUCCGGAAGAGGCAAGUGGAAUUCCUGGUGUAGCGGUGAAAUGCGCAGAUAUCAGGAGGAACACCGAUGGCGAAGGCAGCUUGCUGGGACGGUACUGACGCUGAGACGCGAAAGCGUGGGGAGCAAACAGG
rnacentral:rRNA from 1 species